ensembl:lncRNA
AGCACCAAGCGGCAGCAGGACCACGCUGUGACCGCCUGUUCAUUUAAAGCUUCCUCCUCACGUGACAUUUCCGAAACGUCUUGAGACACAACAAGUACUUUAUGGGUAAACAACUAUUUUCCCUCGGGCCGACGCAUUGCAGAACGGAUGAAGAACAGCCAUUACCAGCCCAUUUCUCAACCACAGCUGCCGGUUGGAUGUGGUGGGAAGAUAAGGGCUGACAGCAUCGGGGCGAGUGACCGUUGAGCCCACAUCUUCACAGAGAUCUGCCUCCAUUGUUCAUCCCAGAUUAAGCUGCACUCGACGGGCGGACCGCAGGAACAGAGCGCACGCCUCCGGUACUUCACAGCACAAGACUCACAAAACAGCACGAGAAGAACCGUAUGAUGAUUGGCGGGACCCUCUGGCUGUCGCGCUCACUGGCCAACUGGUUUGGGGUUUUCCUCGACUGCAGCUGAACAUGAGAGAGGGACAUGAGGGAAACUGAGCGGGGAGGCGACAGGGACUCGGCGUGCUGCCCGCAAUUCGCGCCGGUGUUGCCUUUGGGAUCCUGGACCCAUCCAUGCACUUGCCACGUCCUUGAGCUUUCUUCUCCUCCUGCAAGACUGACCAAGUCAACACACACACAUCUACCAUCAGCUGACUACGGGUAUCAAAACUCAAAACCUGUGGGAAAAAAACGCUACAUGACAGCAGAGCCAUUAAUGAGACAGUCCAGACACACAUAUGCUACAUGCAUCUAUAAUAUUUAACUAAGUGCUUUGUAAGUGUGAAGUUUGUCUAAUAACAACAUCACAU